UUCGUGUUUAGAAAAAUUUCA
ensembl:piRNA 21ur-14341 ncRNA